rnacentral:tRNA from 1 species
GCCGCCUUAGCUCAGUUGGUUAGAGCGCUUGAUUGUGGAUCAAGAGGUCCCCCGUUCGAUUCGGGGAGGUGGUACCA